GUGUGUGUGUGUGUGUGUGUGUGUGUGUGUGUGUGUGUGUGUGUGUGUGUGUGUGCGUGCGUGUUUAUAUUCCGGACAUUUCUUUCUAUUAAUGUCUACUCUGAUUGUUUAUUGACGUGUGCGCGCGUGUGUCUCUGUGAUUGUGUGUUUGCAUCUGUCUUUUGUUUUCACAGACUGCAUCUCGGAUUAAUUUCCGGUGUGCUGACAAUAAACCCGAGCUGACGGUAUCUCUUGCCUUAUCGGCUGAGCUGUUUUCCAGUGUCUGAACGUCAAUAUUAUGUGUUGUAUCAGUUGUAGGCGAGCUUCCAGUGACGCUGAGACGAGCAGCACAGUAGCUGUUGUUUAAUCCCCUGUAAACUGAAAUCAGGAUCCAAUGCUCGAUGCACAAUGGUCUGUGAAUCAAUCCAAUUAGCGGAUCCCAAGGACCACAUGGCCACUUUGCCCAUGCCAAAUAAAGCUGUUGUGAUGAAUUAAUUGCAUUGCAUUAAAGUCUUCUGAAGAUCAGCAUCCAAUAUGCUCCACACUCCUCCAAGAAUCCAAGAAAUGCACUGUAUUUACACAUGAGGCCUUAAUCUUUUAUUAUCCAGGCUUUCUUUUUCAUUGCAUCCCCCAUUCUUACUUUGGGAUAAUGUUAUUGCUGUCCACCAGGAAGUGAAUUCACUGCUGUCACUGGAAUGAGGGUUCGCUCUGCAACUAUGUUUCUUUUAACUUGCCAUUUUGUGGGUUUUCGGGUUAGGGGGGUGACUUCUUAUGCAAGGCUGUAAAGUGGCUUUUAGACUGCAAGUGUGACACAGGGGCGGGCUGUAAGAAUUGGUCGUCUGUGUGUUUUCCAGUAAGGCUUUAUGAGCUUGGUUGCUUAGCCGAAUGAGGAGAUGUCCUUCAUUAAGAUCCCGUGGUGUAACACCAGUCAACAGAGAAUAGGUUGCGUGUGGAGUGGUGUAACACCAGUCAACAGAGAACAGGUCGCGUGUGGAGUGGUGUAACACCAGUCAACAGAGAAUAGGUCGCGUGUGGAGUGGUGUAACACCAGUCAACAGAGAACAGGUCGCGUGUGGAGUGGUGUAACACCAGUCAACAGAGAACAGGUCGCGUGUGGAGUGGUGUAACACCAGUCAACAGAGAAUAGGUCGAGUGUGGAGGGAGCAACAGAGAGGGCCUGGUAACUUCUGUCUGAAUGUAAUACAUUUAUAAUACCUUGUUACUUGACACAAAACCUUUUUUGCGUACCUCGCAGUUUAUAGCCUAAUUUCACGUCAGAAGGAAGAUUCAGGAGACAUAUUACCGUACAUAUAUGAUGUCACCAAAGCGAUCCUCCCACCUGGUUAUAUUGAUUU
ensembl:lncRNA